rnacentral:rRNA from 1 species
AUGCUUCCCAAAAAACAUUUAUCUGGUUUCCAGAAAAGAACAAAGAGGAAAAGAAUAGAUAAGUUUAUUGGAACUCAGAAGGGAGCUAUGCGUAAAUUUGCUGUGAGGAGGGACACUGCUGAUAAUCUUGAUGAAUUAGAUGGCAUUGGUGCUGAAGAACAACAACCUGUUGAGAAUGAGACCACAAUUGAGGAAAACAAUGCCCAUGAGACUCCUAUAAAUUUGAGUGGCCGUGAGAAUCCUACAAGUGUUGAUGAACAAGGAUCUUCUUGUUUUGAUAUCUAUGACCCUAGGAACUGGGACGCUCUUGACAAUAAAGCAAGAGAUAUUCUGAUUGAAAAAGGGCCUACAAGGGAAUACAAUCUUGUAUUCAAAACGGAUAAUAUUGGAAGACAUUUUUCGUAUGCUUACUACUCAAGAAAGCUUAGUAAUGGGGAGGUCAGUGAUCGGAAGUGGUUGGUGUACUCUAAACAUGUGAAUAAAGUUUACUGUUUUUGCUGCAAAUUGUUCAAGUCUGAAAGUAGCAAAAGUUUACUAGCAUCUGAAGGACUAAUGGACUGGAAGCAUCUAAGUGAGAAGCUCAAACUUCAUGAGAAUAGUAUUGAGCAUAUCACUAACAUGAAUACUUGGAAUGAGGUAAGACCGAGGCUAAGUAAAAAUGUGACAAUUGAUAAAGAUAUGCAACAAGAAAUUGCAAAGGAGAAAGAGCGAUGGAGACAAGUUCUGAUUAGAAUUGUUGUUGCAGUGAAGUUUCUUGCCAAGCAUAAUUUGGCUUUUCAAGGAUCAAAUGAGAAACUAUACCAAGUUAGCAAUGGAAACUUUUUGGGAGUAAUUGAAAUGAUAGCAGAAUUUGACCCAGUUAUGCAAGAUCAUCUUAGGCACAUUUAG